rnacentral:rRNA from 1 species
GACAGAGGUGCCGAGCGUAGGCGGAAUCACUGGGCUUAAAGCGUGUGUAGGCGGACUUCUAAGUACCUUGUGAAAUCCCCCGGCUCAACCGGGGAACUGCUUGGUAUACUGGUUGUCUUGAGCCACUUAGGGGCAGUCGGAACAGACGGUGGAGCGGUGAAAUGCGUAGAUAUCGUCUGGAACGCCAAAGGUGAAAACAGAACUGCUGGGAGUGGUGCUGACGCUGAGACA